UGUUUGCAUAUCUGUCCUGCCUCUCUGCUCCCAGCCGUUAAGAGGCCAGUGUUGAUCAGUGGCUGUCCAGGCCUUUCAGAGCCACUGACACACCAGCAGCACAAUCAUCAUGUCUCUGACUCUACUGCUGGCCACCCUGGGGCUCCUUGUUCAGGGUUCAUCAGGAGACAUCAUCCUGACUCAGUCUCCUGGAUCUCAGUCUGUUGUUCUGGGACAGACUGUCUCUAUCAGAUGUAAAGCCAGUUCAAGUGUUAGUGACUACCUCAACUGGUACCUUCAGAAACCUGGAGAAGCUCCUAAACUCCUGAUUUAUUAUGCUACAAACCGUGAGUCUGGAGUUUCAGAUCGUUUCAGUGGAAGUGGAUCUGGGACUGACUUCACUCUGACCAUCAGUAGAGUUCAGGCUGAAGAUUCAGGAGUUUACUACUGUCAGCAGGGUUACAGCACACCGUACACGUUCGGUGGAGGAACCAGACUGGAUGUUGGAAGUGAUACUCGUCCCACCCUGACGGUGCUGCCCCCCUCCAGCGAGGAGCUGCAGCAGGGGAAGGCCACGCUCAUGUGCCUGGCCAACAAGGGCUUCCCCUCAGGCUGGAGUCUGGCCUGGAAGGUGGACGGCAGCAGCAGCAGCAGCAGCAGCUGGGAGGAGACCAAGAGCCCCGGGGUGCUGGGGAAGGACGGCCUCUACAGCUGGAGCAGCACCCUGAGGCUCAAUGCAGACCAGUGGGGGAAGGUGGGCUCUGUGACCUGUGAGGCCACCCAGGGCUCCCAGACUCUGGUCUCAGAGACACUGAGGAGAGACCAGUGUUAGUCCUGAGCUGACUCACUGGGACUCUGCUGCUGGUUUUACUCUGCUACUGCUCUCACUCUGCUCUCUCUAACACUGUCUCUCUCUCUUUUAUUUCACAUGUUUCACUAGAAACAUUUACCAGCUUCUCGCAGUGUUUCAAUAUUGUUUCUGUGUUUCCAGAUAAUAAAAAUCUGUUCAUCAAA